GUGCCUUUGGAUCAUGGAGACAGACAUCUCUACAUUAUCUACACUACCCAUGUCCCUGAGUAUUCAGGGCCAUAUGGCCACAGUCCUGGGCUCAAUGGUGUGAACUAACACUUCCCCGUUCCCAUUCACGGACUUGACAGAUUUUAACUGGUGCAGAGAGAUGAUGAACAGUUCUGCCAGCCUAUCAGGGGAGACUCUGUUCCUGCGUCAGGCUGCUCUGUUGCUUGAGCACCCGCCUCCUGCAUGGAAGCUGUGCAGCGCUGUGCAGCGACCUACCCGGCCGUGCUCCCUCAACCUCACAUACACCAUCUCAGUGCCUGCACCAGCGCAGCAGGACCCAUUCAGGGAGGUUGUGAGCUCUUUAGCAGAGUCAGAGAAGGAAGAUGGAGGAGAUGUAGAGGAGAAGGCUCAGCCUGACCAAAUGCAAGCCUGCUCCUUGUCAGCUCCUAAUCUCAGUGGCGGAAGUUCCCCAUCAGACUUCACCGUGAGCAAGGAGAAGCCGUUUGGUGAUAGGGGUACGCCACGAUGGGUCAACCCCUUCAUCCCAGAGCAAGAGAGGAGGAACAAGGUGGGUGAGGAUGAGGAGGAAGAGGAUGAUUUGGACGGCGAUAACCUGCACAAGUACCAGGAGGACUUUUCCUUCCAGCUCCAUGGAGACACCAGGGACGGGGAUGGGGACGAGGCUCUGCCGUGUCCUGCAGAAGUGGUCCAACACCAUGGUGCUGAGAAUGCGGGUACGCGCAGAACCAAGUGGAGCCAGGAGAGGGGUGUGUCGAAAGAGCUGGAGAACCUCAGUCAGCAGGGUGUCGAGGUCCGGCCUCGUUGUGAUUCUAGAAGCAUCCCGAUGAUUGUGGACUGUGGGGAUGCGGACUGGGGUGAAUCAGGAGACAGCGAUGGUGGAGUCCUCACGGGGAAGUCCUCCCAAAUGUCUGCCAAUUGUCCCUGUGCUCUCAGUAAACCGCACAAGGAAUCUGAAAGCUUAGUGGACAACGUCAGCGACUCCUCCAGUUCGGACGGAGUCCUCGUUAACUUCAGCACUAUCUACAACAAAAGCAACAACGCAGUAGAAGCCAUUCCAUUUGAUGUGGAAAGCCGAAUAGAUCCCUCACACGGAACGAGCUCCUUACCACAAGACGGGUCCAACCCAACACCCUGCUGGCCACCACAGGGCAUCGACCCCAACUGCAACUACCAGCUGGACUCUGAGGGUGUCCCGUCUCCGGUGGCCUCGGACGUGACCCUCUGUCUCCAUGCUCAGACUCGACUGGCCGUUUCCACCCAGAACUACUACAAGCUGGUGACCUGUGACCUCUCGUCGCAGUCGUCCCCCAGCCCGGCCUGGUCCUCGGUGACCAGCUGCUCAGAGGGCCAGGGCAGCCCCACUCCGCCCGCUGAGUACUUCCUCUUCAGGAGAGAUGGUGAGGAGGGGAGGAUGGAGGCCCAGCCAGAGGAGGAGGGAGAAGAAAAGCCAGUGGAGGACAUCACCAAAGGAAGCACAGAGGACCCAUUUAGGAAGGAGAUCAGGGGAAAGACUUUUCUCACUCGCAGCUGUGACACCACCACCACUAAGCGCCUCCUCUCACCUGCACAGCAAACCCUGCCACGCGUGCCAAGCUGCCCCGGCCACCUCACAGCCCAUGGCACCAGGCAGCAUGUGACCAGCUUCGCAGAGAUCGCCUACUGCAAGAGGGGGACAAGAGACACGUCCUCCCUGAGGACCACUCCUGAAGAUCACCAGUCACCCUCUGGGUCUCAGGUCCCCCAACGGCUCUCCAUGGUUACAGAUACAGAAUAUGAGGGACAACAUGUUGGUUCAGCAUCUACACCCUCUCUCCCUAAUCAGGACAACAAAAUACCUGUAAAUAUGGAUGAAGAAAGCCUUCCUUCAACCUCUACAAUGGAAGGGGCUUGUUCGUCGUCUCCAGGGGUGGUGCGUUUCAGUAAGGACCAGAGGCCCACUUCUCUGCCCAUCCAGCCUUUCGUCCUGCAGCUGCCUCCGGGGAAGCAGCAGAAGCCUUUGGGCUCCCUCCUCAACCAGUAUCUCAGCCACGGCAAGUCCGGCACCCACAGGGGCAAAGGCAAAGAGAACGGCAAGGUCGUGCCGACCUUCCUUCGCCCCUCGCCCCUGGGGGGCUACUCCUCGUUUCAGCUGGAAGCGGCCUCCAGUUCAGACACCUGCUCCACCUGCACCCCCAGCCCCGUCCCGUUCCCAAACCGCUCGGCCUUGGUCCUCUACCACCACACCACCAGCCCUCCUGACGUGCAGUGCCACCCUGACAAGAACCAGAGCUGCUCAAGCAACCCCUUCAGGCCAUAUAUGUUUCAGAGUAGCCCAGACGAGGCCCUUGACUGCCAAAGCAAACACAGUGAAGACUCCACGUCGCCUCCACCACAGACUUGUGCUAAACUGAGCCCGGAGGCUUCAAAUGGCAUCUGCAGCCCCAAGUGUGAUUCCAGUCUGCCCACUCGGCACACUCUGGAGCCAAGUCCUAAAAUGGUCGACCCCUUUCAACCCCUUUCAGCCCUGUCCUCAUACGGGGAUGAGUGUCAGGCGAUCGAGACCACGCCUGUCUGGGACAUCAGCCAUCGCGGCCCGAGCCCUGCAGUGACCUCUGUGACCUCUCUGAACACCCCGCCCUGCUUGGCCUUCUGUCCUGCAGAGAGACCCCAGGCUCAGUGCAGCCCCAGUGGAGCCCUCAGUGCUGCGGCCAUCUGCAGACCUGCCAUACCCAAGUGUUUCCAAGGGAAACGGCAUCAGCCUCAGUCUCAGCAUCAGCAAGGUGACUCAUUCUCCCUGACUGACAGGCCACCGGAAGAGUUCUGCCUCUCCCCUGACGCCUCCUCUGAGACGCUCUCCAUCGACCUGCUGCAGAAAAAAGGUGAAUGAGAAACACAGUCAGAGUCAACGCGGUGAAAAAUAUGGUGAUCACAUGCUAGGCAGCUCAUUCGUACUCUCCCCAGGAGUAUGGCAGGUUGAGGAUUAUUUUUAAAACUCGAGUCUGGUGUUUUGAGCUUGAGAACAGUAUUUAUUUUUCCAUGGUAACACAUUCAAAGAGGCAUUUAAAGUGUCCGCCACAGAGAGUGUAGUGUAAGACACCGUCUGCCUACUGUAUGUGCAUAUACUGUAAUAAUAUACCGCACUGUAACAGUAGACAGACAUGUAGGUAAAACAUAUACUACAAAUCCUUUGCAUUUAUCAGAAACACUUACAAAUCCCUCAGGGUUCAGGUAUUUUUCAGGUGUGUGUGCAGUUAGAUUAGUGACUUGUGCAAGUGACUCUGUUUACUUGAAAUUUAAGUCAUAGAGAAAAAAAUCAAGAUGGCUUCUGUAUUUACAGUACAAAAGUGAGUCCAUCUUGCUGGUGUAUUUCUGUGGAGAGAGGGAGAGAGAGAGAGAGAGAGAGAGAGAGAGAGUUUCUCUCAGCU
ensembl:lncRNA